rnacentral:lncRNA from 1 species
GUGUGUUGCCAUAUAUAGGCAGACAUGAAGCUUAUUGCAUUGCUUUUACUAAAGUUCGGAUGGAUAUGAGGAUUUUAACCUCAGUUUUAUGUUAGUGUUCUUAUUAUUAACAGCUUCAAAUUCUUUUGGAAAUAGUGAGAUUUAAAUCCUAGAUAAAAUAUUUUAGGUAUUGGCUUCUAAACUUGGCACUGGACAUUUGAAGAAUAGAAUGGGUACUUAGCCUACAGAGUGCUCAGUUGAGGAAAUCAAAGAAGUAAGCAAAUAAAUGUGAUGAAGUAGUACAGAUGUUAUGAUGGAAGAAUGUACAGCAUCUAGCAAGGGGACAAAGGAAAGACAGGUUGGAGGUGAUGUUUGAGCUGAGUCUUCGCAAAGGAUUA